UAGCUAGUUGGUGAGGUAACGGCUUACCAAGGCGACGGUCUGUAGCGGGUCUGAGAGGAUGAUCCGCCACACUGGAACUGAGACACGGUCCAGACUCCUACGGGAGGCAGCAGUGGGGAAUUUUGGACAAUGGGGGCAACCCUGAUCCAGCCAUGCCGCGUGAGUGAAGAAGGCCUUCGGGUUGUAAAGCUCUUUCGGCCGGGAAGAAAUCGCAUGGGCCAAUACCCUGUGUGGAUGACGGUACCGGAAUAAGAAGCACCGGCUAACUACGUGCCAGCAGCCGCGGUAAUACGUAGGGUGCGAGCGUUAAUCGGAAUUACUGGGCGUAAAGCGUGCGCAGGCGGUUUUGUAAGACAGGCGUGAAAUCCCCGGGCUCAACCUGGGAACUGCGUUUGUGACUGCAAGGCUAGAGUACGGCAGAGGGGGGUGGAAUUCCACGUGUAGCAGUGAAAUGCGUAGAGAUGUGGAGGAACACCAAUGGCGAAGGCAGCCCCCUGGGUCGAUACUGACGCUCAUGCACGAAAGCGUGGGUAGCAAACAGGAUUAGAUACCCUGGUAGUCCACGCCCUAAACUAUGUCAACUAGGUGUUGGGUGGGUAAAACCAUUUAGUACCGUAGCUAACGCGUGAAGUUGACCGCCUGGGGAGUACGGCCGCAAGGUUAUAACUCAAAGGAAUUGACGGGGACCCGCACAAGCGGUGGAUGAUGUGGAUUAAUUCGAUGCAACGCGAAAAACCUUACCUACCCUUGACAUGCCAGGAACUUGCCAGAGAUGGCUUGGUGCCCGAAAGGGAGCCUGGACACAGGUGCUGCAUGGCUGUCGUCAGCUCGUGUCGUGAGAUGUUGGGUUAAGUCCCGCAACGAGCGCAACCCUUGUCGUUAAUUGCCAUCAUUUAGUUGGGCACUUUAGCGAGACUGCCGGUGACAAACCGGAGGAAGGUGGGGAUGACGUCAAGUCCUCAUGGCCCUUAUGGGUAGGGCUUCACACGUCAUACAAUGGUCGGUACAGAGGGUCGCCAAGCCGCGAGGUGGAGCCAAUCCCAGAAAGCCGAUCGUAGUCCGGAUUGCAGGCUGCAACUCGCCUGCAUGAAGUCGGAAUCGCUAGUAAUCGUGGAUCAGCAUGUCACGGUGAAUACGUUCCCGGGUCUUGUACACACCGCCCGUCACACCAUGGGAGCGGGUUCCGCCAGAAGUAGGUAGCCUAACCGCAAGGAGGGCGCUUACCACGGCGGGGUUCGUGACUGGGGUGAAGUGGUAACAAGGUAGCCGUAGGGGAACCUGCGGCUG
rnacentral:rRNA from 1 species